rnacentral:lncRNA from 1 species
CAGCGGAUGAGCCCAGAGAAAGGCACCCCGCCCUCCGUCCCUGGUGGCUGCCGGGCUCGGGGUCCGCACAGACCGCGCUGGAAAGGGAUAGUCCGGGAAGAUGCGCGUCCCACGCACCACACUGCUUGGAGGUGGAGGAGACCCGCGCGCUGGCAGGAGCUGACGCUGCGUCCCCAGCUUGUCCCCCUCGAAUAGCCUCCACCUACCGGGGCCAACUGCUUGAGGUCAGCCAGUGGGCAGGGGAGCUCACCACCAGCCAGCCGUCAUCCAGCCAAGUCGGUGGCGAGAAUCCACCCUGUGGUUCUGGAUGCAAGCCAGACACACCUCCAGGCUUAGGGCGGUCUCUGCAGGCGUGUUGGACUUCAGUGCGCUCCGACACCCAGCUUUUGAAUGCCCUGCUCCCAGCCCGGUAAACAAGCACCCAUGAGGCCCGCCGCCCGACCGGAAAAAAGUAGUCCCCUGCAACUCUCAAAGCUUCUCCCACUCCCGCUUCUCUGGGCGACUGGCACCCCCUCUCCUGUCCUCAAGGUGUCAGACUUCCCUUGCAAGAGCUGGAGGAUGCGGCUUGCCACUAGUGUCAACAAUCAAAACAGUCGCAAUGAAUAAAUGAUGAGCCACAGCGUUCCAACCACCCUCAUCCAGCUUGGUCUUUCCAAAAGGCAUAGGAAAUCAGCAAGUUUCCACCAAAUAUACCAAAACCCUAAGACGCGAGCCAGCCCAAGGGUGCAAGGUUCUGCGGCUGCAGGUGCCUAUGAAACUGCAAUAAAUACAUAACAGAAGAGAACACCAAGGAGAGCACUAUAUAUGUCAACCAUCUGAGCAGGCUGUAUUCCCACGGAAAGAAGAAUUUGUAUUGAUCACUGAGCCUCCUUUUCAACAGUUUCAUGUGAUUAUUGAUUGCUGGUCUCAGGUCUCCUACAAAAUGAUUAGCAAUUACAGGAAAAUUAUUUGAAAUCUGUUUAAACAAUCUGGUGAAUUGCAUAUACUACAGUCAUUAGCAAUCCAAAGAGUUUAUUUUUAACAAUUUAAACAUAUGAGUUUGGCAGCAUUCUACGAACCUGCACUCCACAUAAAAUGCAAUUCAUUGAAGUCAAAGAAAUUUACAAUAAAAUGUUAUAUGCUAUCUAGAAUUUAUUUUAGUACCUUAUUAAACAGAACAAGAAAGCACUCAUGUUUCCAAAUUAGCAAGAGACAAGUGACCCAAGAAAUGAU